UCCGAUGCUGAUGCCGCCUUUGAGUC
rnacentral:piRNA from 1 species